rnacentral:rRNA from 1 species
UACGUAGGGUCCGAGCGUUGUCCGGAAUUAUUGGGCGUAAAGAGCUCGUAGGCGGUUUGUCGCGUCUGCUGUGAAAUCCCGAGGCUCAACCUCGGGCCUGCAGUGGGUACGGGCAGACUUGAGUACUGCAGGGGAGACUGGAAUUCCUGGUGUAGCGGUGGAAUGCGCAGAUAUCAGGAGGAACACCGGUGGCGAAGGCGGGUCUCUGGGCAGUAACUGACGCUGAGGAGCGAAAGCGUGGGGAGCGAACAGG